AUUGAACGCUGGCGGCAUGCUUUACACAUGCAAGUCGAACGGUAACAGGCCGCAAGGUGCUGACGAGUGGCGAACGGGUGAGUAAUGCAUCGGAACGUGCCCAGUCGUGGGGGAUAACGCAGCGAAAGCUGCGCUAAUACCGCAUACGAUCUAUGGAUGAAAGCGGGGGACCGAAAGGCCUCGCGCGAUUGGAGCGGCCGAUGUCAGAUUAGGUAGUUGGUGGGGUAAAGGCUCACCAAGCCAACGAUCUGUAGCUGGUCUGAGAGGACGACCAGCCACACUGGGACUGAGACACGGCCCAGACUCCUACGGGAGGCAGCAGUGGGGAAUUUUGGACAAUGGGCGCAAGCCUGAUUCAGCAAUGCCGCGUGCAGGAAGAAGGCCUUCGGGUUGUAAACUGCUUUUGUACGGAACGAAAAGGCUCUGGUUAGUACCUGGGGCUCAUGACGGUACCGUAAGAAUAAGCACCGGCUAACUACGUGCCAGCCGCCGCCGUAACAC
rnacentral:rRNA from 1 species